UACGGAGGGUGCAAGCGUUAUCCGGAUUCACUGGGUUUAAAGGGUGCGUAGGAGGGCAGGUAAGUCAGUGGUGAAAUCUCCAAGCUUAACUUGGAACUGCCGUUGAUACUAUCUGUCUUGAAUACCGUAGAGGUGAGCGGAAUAUGUCAUGUAGCGGUGAAAUGCUUAGAUAUGAACAUAGAACACCAAUUGCGAAGGCAGCUCGCUACACGAAUAUUGACUCUGAGGCACGAAAGCGUGGGGAUCAAACAGG
rnacentral:rRNA from 1 species